rnacentral:rRNA from 1 species
AUUGAACGCUGGCGGCAGGCCUAACACAUGCAAGUCGAACGAGUGGCGGACGGGUGAGUAAUGUCUGGGACACUGCCUGCUGUCGGGGGAUAACUACUGGAAACGGUAGCUAAUCCCGCAUACCGUCGGAUGUUCCCAGAUGGGCUUAGCUAGUCGGUGGGGUAACGGCUCCCCUAGGCGACGAUCCCUAGCUGGUCUGAGAGGAUGACGAGCCACACUGGAACUGAGACACGGGCCAGACUCCUACGGGAGGCAGCAGUGGGGAAUAUUGCACAAUGGGCGCAAGCCUGAUGCAGCCAUGCCGCGUGUAUGAAGAAGGCCUUCGGGUUGUAAAGUACUUUCAGCUGGUAGGCGUUACCCGCAGAAGAAGCACCGGCUAACUCCGUGCCAGCAGCCGCGGUAAUUC